UACGUAGGGUGCGAGCGUUAAUCGGAAUUACUGGGCGUAAAGCGUGCGCAGGCGGUUUUGUAAGCCAGAUGUGAAAUCCCCGGGCUCAACCUGGGAAUGGCAUUGGUGACUGCACGGCUAGAGUGUGUCAGAGGGGGGUAGAAUUCCACGUGUAGCAGUGAAAUGCGUAGAGAUGUGGAGGAAUACCGAUGGCGAAGGCAGCCCCCUGGGAUAACACUGACGCUCAUGCACGAAAGCGUGGGGAGCAAACAGG
rnacentral:rRNA from 1 species